GGCGAUUUCCAAGCGAUGAUUUUUACGAUGAUAUCUUUAAAGGCGAUGAAUCGGUGAAUUCUUCUCCUUGCCGGCAUGAGCGUGACGUUUUCUCUUCGAUUCCUGGUUCUAGGGUUCUAAGUCCUGCUAGACCUCUUCCGCCGCCGGCAGAACCCUUCGGAAGUUCUUCCCUCCCUGCACAAUUAAGCUUAUCAUCAAGAUUGGCCAAAGGGACUGAUUUACCGGCGUUCGGAUCAAGCUCGUUAAGAAACAAGGACGGUGUUUCAAAUGGAAGUCAUACAAAUUCUC
rnacentral:misc_RNA from 1 species